rnacentral:rRNA from 1 species
CCUUGCGCNGGCGACGGUUCAUUCAAAUUUCUGCCCUAUCAACUUUCGAUGGUAAGGUAUUGGCUUACCAUGGUUUCAACGGGUAACGGGGAAUUAGGGUUCGAUUCCGGAGAGUGAGCNUGAGAAACGGCUCACACAUCCAAGGAAGGCAGCAGGCGCGCAAAUUACCCAAUCCCGACACGGGGAGGUAGUGACAAUAAAUACUGAUACAGGGCUCUUUUGGGUCUUGUAAUUGGAAUGAGUACAAUUUAAACCUCUUAACGAGGAACAAUUGGAGGGCAAGUCUGGUGCCAGCAGCCGCGGUAAUUCCAGCUCCAAUAGCGUAUAUUAAAGUUGUUGCAGUUAAAAAGCUCGUAGUUGAAUCUUUGGCCUGGCUGGCGGGUCCGCCUCACCGCGUGCACUUGUCCGGCCGGGCCUUCUCUUCUGGAGAACCGCAUGCCCUUCACUGGGCGUGUUGGGGACCAGGACUUUUACUUUGAAAAAAUUAGAGUGUUCAAAGCAGGCCUUUGCUCGAAUACGUUAGCAUGGAAUAAUAGAAUAGGACGUGCGGUCCUAUUUUGUUGGUUUCUAGGACCGCCGUAAUGAUUAAUAGGGACAGUCGGGGGCAUCAGUAUUCAAUUGUCAGAGGUGAAAUUCUUGGAUUUAUUGAAGACUAACUACUGCGAAAGCAUUUGCCAAGGAUGUUUUCAUUAAUCAGUGAACGAAAGUUAGGGGAUCGAAGACGAUCAGAUACCGUCGUAGUCUUAACCAUAAACUAUGCCGACUAGGGAUCGGGCGGUGUUAUCGAUUUGACCCGCUCGGCACCUUG